rnacentral:rRNA from 1 species
AGGGUUUGAUCAUGGCUCAGGAUUAACGCUGGCGGCGUGCCUUAUCAAUGCGAGUCGAACGGUACGGACGGCUUCGGUCGUCACGACGGUGGCAUCAGGGUGAGUAACACGUAGGUAACCUGCCUCUUGGUGGGGGAUAACCCCGGGAAACCGGGGACAAUACCGCAUAAGAUCCGCCGGAUGCGUCCGGUGGAUGAAAGAUUUAUCGCCGAGAGAGGGGCCUGCGGCCGAUUAGCUUGUUGGUGGGGUAAUGGCUCACCAAGGCGAUGAUCGGUAGCUGGUCUGAGAGGAUGAUCAGCCACACUGGGACUGAAACAUGGUCCAGAGCCCUACGGGGUUUAGCAUGAAGGAAUAUUGCGCAAUGGGGGAAACCCUGACGCAGCAACGCCGCGUGGGCGAAGAAGGCCCUCGGGUCGUAAAGCCCUUUUCUGGGUGAUGAAAAUGACAGUAGCCCAGGAAUAAGCCACGGCCAACUACGUGCCAGCAGCCGCGGCAAUACGUAGGUGGCGAGCGUUAUCCGGAAUUACUGGGCGUAAAGCGCGUGUAGGCGGACCGGUAGGUUGUACGUGAAAUGUCAAGGCCCAACCUUGUCACGCCGUGCAAAACCGCCGGUCUUGAGGCUGGGAGAGGGAAGUGGAACUUCCGGUUGUAGUGGUGAAAUGCGUAGAUAUCGGAAGGAACACCAGUGGCGAAGGCGACUUCCUGGCUUANUCCUGACGCUGAGACGCGAAAGCGUGGGGAACGAACCGGAUUAGAUACCNGGGUAGUCCCGCCGU